ACAGUGGGUCCUUUGUCUUUCCUUCAUCAAUGCUGAUGUUUUUGCUAGUUUUGUCUAUGUGUUUUGGUUGGUUCUCAUUAUUGGUAGCAGGUGGAGGGACUUGGAUGAUAAACUAAGAUGAUGUAACAUGCCUUCUUACUGUCUGCCUUUUUAAAUGAAUGGCUUUUACCCAUGGUUUUUAGGUUACUAGUUGCCUGGAAGCAUUGUGAUUACAUUCCUUUCAUAUGUAUUUUUUACCCAGAUAAUUUAAGUUAUGGAGCUCAGAGACUUUCAUCUCUACAUCUAUAUUAUGUAUUUGUGAAAAAGGGAAUUCAACAUUUAAUCAGAGCACUGCUAUUUUUAUAACUGUUAAUUGGCAGAACUCUCGAACAUUAUCUUGUUUUUGGUGUAUUAUCUGCAGUCAUUCCCACGGUAUCUUCUACAGUGUGCUUAUUUAACUGGUCUUGCAAAGGAACCUUUCCUCACUUACCCAUGCCUUUGCUACUUGGUGUCUUUUAUUUUGAAAUUCUCAUUUCAUUAUGUUUUCAUAAUGGCGACUUGUUAAAAAGACAUGAUGCCACCUCAUGUCUUCUAAGACCUUUCCUUUCUCUGACUGGGUUUUACUGUUUCUGUGGUGUAUUUAGCUCAUCUUUCUGUAUCCCUUAUUUCUGUCAAAGUAAAAGUCUGUCUGAAGAAUUCAAACCAGAGUAAACAUUUUAGUAGAGUGUUUAACAGCCAGACCCAUUGCAUCAUCGCAGGAACCAUACAAGUCAGUAGUAAUGAAGGUGAUGAUUUUUCGAUUGUGAAAUCAUGAUUUCCCCUUUUAUAUCAUCUAGGAGGAGUGAAAUUUUGGCAAUACAUAUACGUCUAGUUCUUCAUCCAACUUCUACCUAAUAUAGUAUCCAUUGGUGGUUUUUACCAGUUAUCUUCCUGGAAUUAGCAAAAGUUAUAAAAAGGAUUUUUAAAGAAUUGGAGUCAAAAUAUACAAACUUUUUAUCUUGAUCUUUUUACAGCAUAUAGUUCAGUAUUACAAUUUUUUUUGUGAUGUGCCGAUCUUAACUGCACUGAAACUGUAUAUUCUAAAAUGGUAUUUGAUGCUUU
rnacentral:lncRNA from 1 species